GCGAUAACCUCGGGAAACUGAGGCCAAUAGCGGAUAUAACUCUCAGGCUGGAGUGCCGAGAGUUAGAAACGUUCCGGCGCUGUAGGAUGUGGCUGCGGCCGAUUAGGUAGAUGGUGGGGUAACGGCCCACCAUGCCGAUAAUCGGUACAGGUUGUGAGAGCAAGAGCCUGGAGACGGUAUCUGAGACAAGAUACCGGGCCCUACGGGGCGCAGCAGGCGCGAAACCUUUACACUGCACGACAGUGCGAUAGGGGGACUCCGAGUGNGAGGGCAUAUAGCCCUCGCUUUUCUGUACCGUAAGGUGGUACANGAACAAGGACUGGGCAAGACCGGUGCCAGCCGCCGCGGUAAUACCGGCAGUCCAAGUGAUGGCCGAUAUUAUUGGGCCUAAAGCGUCCGUAGCCUGCUGUGUAAGUCCAUUGGGAAAUCGACCAGCUCAACUGGUCGNCGUCCGGUGGAAACUACACAGCUUGGGGCCGAGAGACUCAACGGGUACGUCCGGGGUAGGAGUGAAAUCCUGUAAUCCUGGACGGACCACCAAUGGGGAAACCACGUUGAGAGACCGGACCCGACNGUGAGGGACGAAAGCCAGGGUCUCGAACCGGAUUAGAUACCCGGGUAGUCCUGGCUGUAAACAAUGCUCGCUAGGUAUGUCACGCGCCAUGAGCACGUGAUGUGCCNUANUGAAGACGAUAAGCGAGCCGCCUGGGAAGUACGUCCGCAAGGAUGAAACUUAAAGGAAUUGGCGGGGGAGCACCACAACCGGAGGAGCCUGCGGUUUAAUUGGACUCAACGCCGGAAA
rnacentral:rRNA from 1 species